AAGAGGGAACCCGGUGGGAAUCCGGGACUGCCCCGCAGCGGUGAGUGGGAACGACCGCCGUCAUACGCACUGGGCCCGACGUACGGGGCCCGGGAAGCGACGGCCAUUAGGAGUCUCGUCCGACACGAGGCGCGCCCGCGAGUCCGAAGACCU
rnacentral:ncRNA from 2 species